rnacentral:rRNA from 1 species
UCCUACGGGAGGCAGCAGUAGGGAAUUUUCCGCAAUGGGCGAAAGCCUGACGGAGCAACGCCGCGUGAGGGAUGAAGGUCUUCGGAUCGUAAACCUUUGUCUAGAGGGACGAUAAUGACGGUACCUCUGGAGGAAGCCACGGCUAACUACGUGCCAGCAGCCGCGGUAAUACGUAGGUGGCGAGCGUUGUCCGGAAUUACUGGGCGUAAAGGGCGUGUAGGCGGCCUUUUAAGUCAGACGUGAAAACCCUGGGCUUAACCCAGGACCUGCGUUUGAUACUGAAGGGCUUGAGGACCGGAGAGGACAGUGGAAUUCCCAGUGUAGCGGUGAAAUGCGUAGAUAUUGGGAGGAACACCAGUGGCGAAGGCGACUGUCUGGACGGCACCUGACGCUGAGGCGCGAAAGCCAGGGGAGCAAACGGGAUUAGAUACCCCGGUAGA